rnacentral:rRNA from 1 species
CCUACGGGUGGCAGCAGUGAGGAAUAUUGGUCAAUGGCCGGGAGUCUGAACCAGCCAAGUCGCGUGCAGGAAGACGGCCCUACGAGUUGUAAACUUCUUUUGUCGGAGAGCAAACCUGAAGACGUGUAUUCCGUUGAGAGUACCCUAAGAAAAAGCAUCGGCUAACUCCGUGCCAGCAGCCGCGGUAAUACGGAGGAUGCAAGCGUUAUCCGGAUUUAUUGGGUUAAAAGGGUGCGCAGGCGGGGGAUCAAGUCAGCGGUAAAAUGUCGGGGCUAAACCCCGAACUGCCGUUGAAACUGUUUAUCUAGAGUGGGCGAGAAGUAUGCGGAAUGUGUGGUGUAGCAGUGAAAUGCAUAGAUAUCACGAAGAACUCCGAUUGCGAAGGCAGCAUACCAGCCUAAAACUGACGUUGAGGCACGAAAGCGUGGGGAUCGAACAGGAUUAGAUACCCUUGUAGUC